UGGGGAAUAUUGCACAAUGGGCGCAAGCCUGAUGCAGCCAUGCCGCGUGUAUGAAGAAGGCCUUCGGGUUGUAAAGUACUUUCAGCGGGGAGGAAGGUGUUGUGGUUAAUAACCUCAGCAAUUGACGUUACCCGCAGAAGAAGCACCGGCUAACUCCGUGCCAGCAGCCGCGGUAAUACGGAGGGUGCAAGCGUUAAUAGGAAUUACUGGGCGUAAAGCGCACGCAGGCGGUCUGUCAAGUCGGAUGUGAAAUCCCCGGGCUCAACCUGGGAACUGCAUCCGAAACUGGCAGGCUUGAGUCUUGUAGAGGGGGGUAGAAUUCCAGGUGUAGCGGUGAAAUGCGUAGAGAUCUGGAGGAAUACCGGUGGCGAAGGCGGCCCCCUGGACAAAGACUGACGCUCAGGUGCGAAAGCGUGGGGAGCAAACA
rnacentral:rRNA from 1 species